rnacentral:rRNA from 1 species
CGUAGGGUGCUAGCGUUGUUCGGAAUCAUUGGGCGUAAAGCGCGUGUAGGUGGCUGUGUAAGUCGAAUGUGAAAUCCCUGGGCUCAACCGAGGAAGUGCAUUCGAAACUACAUAGCUCGAGGACGGUAGAGGAAGGUGGAAUUCCAAAAGUAGAGGUGAAAUUCGUAGAUAUUUGGAGGAAUACCGGCGGCGAAGGCGGCCUUCUGGGCCGUUCCUGACACUGAGACGCGAAAGCGUGGGUAGCAAACAGGAUUAGAUACCCUGGUAGUCCACGCUGUAAACGAUGAGUACUAGGUGUUGCGGGAAUUGACCCCUGCAGUGCCGUAGCUAACGCAUUAAGUACUCCGCCUGGGAAGUACGGUCGCAAGAUUA